UACAAAUGUACACCACAACAUCAAUAUGUAUACAUUGCCUCUCUGGGUUACAUUCUUUGUAAUACAGCAACGUCGAUGUCGGAUAUUUAACGGACAUUUACUGAGCCCUCUAAAACACAGGCCAGACUGUUGUGUUCGUCUUCUGUGGAGGUGAGGUGUCUCACAACUGGGCUGUCUUACUUAUGGGAGGAGACCAACCCGGGCAUUCGGCAUGACAAGACAAUGCUUUACUGUUCGGCUGUUCAACCGCCCUCGGAUCAGAGUGAGAGUACAUGAAAGUUUAGGUCGGUAUGGAGAAAUAUCGGUCAGUCGAUACACGUUAACCGUUGGGAGGAGAAACACGCUUCGCCUUAUCAUGCUGCAGGAGCUUACAUCUACAAGAUAACAAAGGACAUUCUGUUUUCAACAAGGCUCCGUGUCCUGAACCUCACGCAAUUCCUCGAGUGCAGAAGAGUCGGGCCUGGUUCUGCACGCAGCACGCAAUAAGUCGCCGCGGGGGGUGCCCGCAACGUGCACACGUUUCCUGUGCAGAUAUUUUCCUUCUUUGCGAGACAAAGCAUCGUGCGCCACAGACCGAUCCUCAUUUCCGGUGCCGAAAGAAACUGUUUGCUUCAAGUUGUAACGCCCGUCUCAACUAUGCGUUUUAU